AGAGUUUGAUCCUGGCUCAGAACGAACGCUGGCGGCAGGCUUAACACAUGCAAGUCGAACGCCCCGCAAGGGGAGUGGCAGACGGGUGAGUAACACGUGGGAACAUGCCCAAAGGUACGGAACAACUCCGGGAAACUGGAGCUAAUACCGUAUGUGCCCGAGAGGGGAAAGAUUUAUCGCCUUUGGAUUGGCCCGCGUUGGAUUAGCUAGUUGGUGGGGUAAAAGCCUACCAAGGCGACGAUCCAUAGCUGGUCUGAGAGGACGACCAGCCACACUGGGACUGAGACACGGCCCAGACUCCUACGGGAGGCAGCAGUGGGGAAUCUUGGACAAUGGGCGCAAGCCUGAUCCAGCCAUGCCGCGUGGAUGAUGAAGGCCCUAGGGUUGUAAAAUCCUUUCGUUGGGGACGAUAAUGACGGUACCCAAAGAAGA
rnacentral:rRNA from 1 species